UAGGGAAUCUUCCACAAUGGACGCAAGUCUGAUGGAGCAACGCCGCGUGAGUGAAGAAGGUUUUCGGACCGUAAAGCUCUGUUGUUGGUGAAGAAGGAUAGAGGUAGUAACUGGCCUUUAUUUGACGGUAAUCAACCAGAAAGUCACGGCUAACUACGUGCCAGCAGCCGCGGUAAUACGUAGGUGGCAAGCGUUGUCCGGAUUUAUUGGGCGUAAAGCGAGCGCAGGCGGAAGAAUAAGUCUGAUGUGAAGCCCUUGGCUUAACCGAGGAAUUGCAUCGGAAACUGUUUUCUUGAGUGCAGAAGAGGAGAGUAGAACUCCAUGUGUAGCGGUGGAAUGCGUAGAUAUAUGGAAGAAUACCAGUGGCGAAGGCGGCUCUCUGGUCUGCAACUGACGCUGAGGCUCGAAAGCAUGGGUAGCGAACAGGAUUAGAUACCCUGGUAGUCCAUGCCGUAAACGAUGAGUGCUAAGUGUUGGGAGGCUUCCGCCUCUCAGUGCUGCAGCUAACGCAUUAAGCACUCCGCCUGGGGGAGUACGACCGCAAGGUUGAAAC
rnacentral:rRNA from 1 species